AAUUCUAGUUAGCAGACCAACAAUAUAUGCUUGUGAAGGAAUAUAAACUAAAACUUAUAAAGUGGCCAGCUACCCGGUUCUCAGGCCUUUAGAUGCUGACUGCAUUAUACGAUCAGCUUUCCAAGUUCAUCUUGCAGAUGGCAGACUGUGGGACUUCACAGCCUCCACAACCACCACUGCUUUAGCUUCAUCCUAUAAAAUUUGAUGCUGUACCCCAAUGUUUAUAGCAGCAACGUCCACAACAGCCAAACUGUGGAAGGAGCCUCGGUGUCCAUCGAAAGAUGAAAGGAUAAAGAAGAUGUGGUCUAUGUAAACAAUGGAAUAUUA